GGGCUGGCAUGGAAUUCCAUCCCUGGAUCCCUGGCAGUGCCCAAGGCCAGGCUGGGCACUGGGGACAGUGGGAGCACCUGGGACAGUGGAAGGCUGGUCUCCCAAACCAACCACUUGUACAAUUUUUUUAUUCUUUAUCUCUGUCACUCUUUCACUUUGUGGAACCUGUUCUGCUGGCUGGAUAGUGUAUUUGUGUAGAGAGCACUGAUCAAGUGGAAUAAUGAGGGCAGAGACAGGAACACUCAGCUGACAAAAGAGUGGAUCGAGGCAUUAAUACACUUCUUGAAUUUAUUUUUGUAUAAAUUUUGUACAAUUACUGAUUCAUAUUAAAAUAUUUUUUAUGACAUUUAAAACCUAAA